rnacentral:rRNA from 1 species
ACAUGCCUACAACAUAGCAUUAAUACACCAAAUCUCAUUAGAAAUAUGCAGUUAAGCGCGCUUAAACUAGAGUAGUACUGGGAUGGGUGACCGCUCGGGAAGUCCUAGUGUUUUACAUGCC